rnacentral:rRNA from 1 species
AUUGAACGCUGGCGGCAGGCCUAACACAUGCAAGUCGAGCGGAUGAAGGGAGCUUGCUCCUGGAUUCAGCGGCGGACGGGUGAGUAAUGCCUAGGAAUCUGCCUGGUAGUGGGGGAUAACGUCCGGAAACGGGCGCUAAUACCGCAUACGUCCUGAGGGAGAAAGUGGGGGAUCUUCGGACCUCACGCUAUCAGAUGAGCCUAGGUCGGAUUAGCUAGUUGGUGGGGUAAAGGCCUACCAAGGCGACGAUCCGUAACUGGUCUGAGAGGAUGAUCAGUCACACUGGAACUGAGACACGGUCCAGACUCCUACGGGAGGCAGCAGUGGGGAAUAUUGGACGAUGGGCGAAAGCCUGAUCCAGCCAUGCGGCGGGUGUGAAGAAGGUCUUCGGAUUGUAAAGCACUUUAAGUUGGGAGGAAGGGCAGUAAGUUAAUACCUUGCUGUUUUGACGUUACCAACAGAAUAAGCACCGGCUAACUUCGUG